AAACUCAUACGUGUAUCAGAUAGACAUAGAGAUAGAUGAUUAU
rnacentral:guide_RNA from 1 species